GACGAACGCUGGCGGCGUGCCUAAUACAUGCAAGUAGAACGCUGAAGGAGGAGCUUGCUUCUCUGGAUGAGUUGCGAACGGGUGAGUAACGCGUAUGUAACCUGCCUGGUAGUGGGGGAUAACUAUUGGAAACGAUAGCUAAUACCGCAUAAUAGCAGUUGUUGCAUGAUAACUAUUUGAACGUUGCAAUUGCCCCGCUACCAUAUGGACAUGCGGUGUAUUAGCUAGUUGGGGGGGUAACGGCUCACCAAGGCGACGAUACAUAUCCUGACUGAGAAGGUGAACGGGCACCACGGGACUGGGACACCGCCCAGGCUCCUUACGGAGGGAGCAGGAGGGAAUCUUCGGAAAAGGAGGGAAGGCUGACCGAACAAAGCCGGGGGAGGGAAGAAGGGUCUCGGGUCGGAAAGGUCUGUUGUAAGGGAAGGAAGAGCGGGAGAGUGAAAAGUUCACAUUGUGACGGUACCUAAACAGAAAGGGCCGGCUAACUACGUG
rnacentral:rRNA from 1 species